AUUAUCCCUCCAUUUUAUAAAUGUUUGAAAAGUAUUCUUCCACCGGUUUGGAUUGAAGAUAACAUUAAGCCCAUUUUGGCCCACAAAUUGGAGUGGAGAUAGCCCACCCCAUGUUUGGCCCAAAGAUUGAGUGAUUUGGGGAUUAGAGUUAUCAUUGUUCCCUCCUCCUUCCAACUCCACUGCCCCUUCCCAACUUUGUACCGAUUCUUCUCUGUCUUUUAUUCCUCGCCAAACGAUCUCUUCCCCACUCAACUCCACCCCGCUCCUUCUCCAUCUUCCUCUCCUAGCUCGCCGGUCUUUUCCUUCUCUGAAACCCUUUGUCUCAGUCUCCUACUCCCUUGUUCGUUUUGCUUCAUCGAAUCCUUUCGAAGAUGAUUCUUGGUGGUUUCAAUAAUCAUUUAGCAAAUCCAGAAAUUGGGACCUCAAGUUCGGUUGCCGUGGAAAUAGCUAAAAUCCUCAAACUCAAAUGUGAGAAUAAUCACGAUGAAUUUGAACCGUCAAUGGAGAAUUAGACAGCUCUAAUGGCGGAACAUAGCAACAGUAAUCAGAAUUACCAAAUUUCAAUUGGGGGAAUUGCUUUGUAUGAUCCUUCCUUGGGCCUAAUGGGGAUUCUUGAUUUGAACCUCUGUUUGGAAGAUAUUUUUCAUAAAAAUUACACAAAAUAUUUGGCUGCUACAGCUAGACAAAACAAGAUUCAGAUUGGAAAAACAACAACAAUGGAGCUCCCAAAUUGCAAUCCUAAUUCCACUAUUUUCCUUUUUUUUUUUUCUUUUUUCUUUUUUCUUUUUUAAUCUUAGGAUUCAAUUCAUCAUUCAUCAAUUUUAUUGUUACGGCUCAUUGAUAACCAAUGUUUUCGAUUUUGUGUGUAAAAUAUUUUAGUUUAUAUAUGGUAAAAAGAUAAAAAGAAUAGUUUCAAA